GAUGAACGCUGGCGGCGUGCCUAAUACAUGCAAGUCGAGCGAACAGACGAGGAGCUUGCUCCUCUGACGUUAGCGGCGGACGGGUGAGUAACACGUGGAUAACCUACCUAUAAGACUGGGAUAACUUCGGGAAACCGGAGCUAAUACCGGAUAAUAUAUUGAACCGCAUGGUUCAAUAGUGAAAGACGGUUUUGCUGUCACUUAUACAUGGAUCCGCGCCGCAUUAGCUAGUUGGUAAGGUAACGGCUUACCAAGGCAACGAUACGUAGCCGACCUGAGAGGGUGAUCGGCCACACUGGAACUGAGACACGGUCCAGACUCCUACGGGAGGCAGCAGUAGGGAAUCUUCCGCAAUGGGCGAAAGCUUGACGGAGCAACGCCGCGUGAGUGAUGAAGGUCUUCGGAUCGUAAAACUCUGUUAUUAGGGAAGAACAAAUGUGUAAGUAACUAUGCACGUCUUGACGGUACCUAAUCAGAAAGCCACGGCUAACUACGUG
rnacentral:rRNA from 1 species